rnacentral:rRNA from 1 species
ACCCGCUGAACUUAAGCAUAUCAAUAAGCGGAGGAAAAGAAACUAACUAGGAUUCCCCUAGUAACUGCGAGUGAAGCGGGAAAAGCUCAAAUUUAAAAUCUGGCGGUCUUUGGCCGUCCGAGUUGUAAUCUAGAGAAGCGUCACCCGUGCUGGACCGUGUACAAGUCUCCUGGAAUGGAGCGUCAUAGAGGGUGAGAAUCCCGUCUCUGACACGGACUCCCAGGGCUUUGUGGUGCGCUCUCAAAGAGUCGAGUUGUUUGGGAAUGCAGCUCUAAACGGGUGGUAAAUUCCAUCUAAAGCUAAAUAUUGGCGAGAGACCGAUAGCGAACAAGUACCGUGAGGGAAAGAUGAAAAGAACUUUGGAAAGAGAGUUAAACAGUACGUGAAAUUGCUGAAAGGGAAACGCUUGAAGUCAGUCGCGUUGACCGGGGAUCAGCCUGGCUCUUGCCUGGUGUACUUCCUGGUUGACGGGUCAGCAUCAAUUUUGACCGCUGGAAAAGGACUUGGGGAAUGUGGCAUCUUCGGAUGUGUUAUAGCCCCUUGUUGAAUACGGCGGUUGGGAUUGAGGAACUCAGCACGCCGCAAGGCCGGGUUUCGACCACGUUCGUGCUUAGGAUGCUGGCAUAAUGGCUUUAAUCGACCCGUCUUGAAACACGG